CGGACAGUGUCUGGUGGGUAGUUUGACUGGGGCGGUCUCCUCCCAAAGCGUAACGGAGGAGCACGAAGGUUAGCUAAUCCUGGUCGGACAUCAGGAGGUUAGUGCAAUGGCAUAAGCUAGCUUGACUGCGAGCGUGACGGCGCGAGCAGGUGCGAAAGCAGGUCAUAGUGAUCCGGUGGUUCUGAAUGGAAGGGCCAUCGCUCAACGGAUAAAAGGUACUCCGGGGAUAACAGGCUGAUACCGCCCAAGAGUUCAUAUCGACGGCGGUGUUUGGCACCUCGAUGUCGGCUCAUCACAUCCUGGGGCUGAAGUAGGUCCCAAGGGUAUGGCUGUUCGCCAUUUAAAGUGGUACGCGAGCUGGGUUUAGAACGUCGUGAGACAGUUCGGUCCCUAUCUGCCGUGGGCGCUGGAGAAUUGAGGGGGGCUGCUCCUAGUACGAGAGGACCGGAGUGGACGCAUCACUGGUGUUCGGGUUGUCAUGCCAAUGGCACUGCCCGGUAGCUAAAUGCGGAAGAGAUAAGUGCUGAAAGCAUCUAAGCACGAAACUUGCCCCGAGAUGAGUUCUCCCUGAGACUUUAAGUCUCCUGAAGGAACGUUGAAGACGACGACGUUGAUAGGCCGGGUGUGUAAGCGCAGCGAUGCGUUGAGCUAACCGGUACUAAUGAACCGUGAGGCUUAACCUU
rnacentral:rRNA from 1 species